UACAGAGGGGGCAAGCGUUAUUCGGAAUUAUUGGGCGUAAAGGGCGCGUAGGCGGCUUUGCAAGUGGCGGGUGAAAUCCCUCGGCUUAACCGAGGAACUGCCUGCCAGACUGUGAGGCUUGAGACCGGGAGAGGUGAGUGGAAUUCCGAGUGUAGAGGUGAAAUUCGUAGAUAUUCGGAAGAACACCAGUGGCGAAGGCGGCUCACUGGACUGGUAUUGACGCUGAGGUGCGAGAGCGUG
rnacentral:rRNA from 1 species